UACGUAGGGUGCAAGCGUUUGUCCGGAAUCAUUGGGCGUAAAGCGCGCGUAGGCGGCCCGAUAAGUCCGCUGUAAAAGUCAACGGCUCAACUGUUGAAAGCCGGUGGAUACUGUCGGGCUAGAGUACGGAAGAGGCAAGUGGAAUUCCUGGUGUAGCGGUGGAAUGCGCAGAUAUCAGGAGGAACACCUAUAGCGAAGGCAGCUGCUGGGACGUUACUGACGCUAAGGCGCGAAAGCGUGGGGAGCGAACAGG
rnacentral:rRNA from 1 species